GCGCGUGUAGUUUAAUGGUAAAAUCGCGGACUUUUAAUCCGUCAGACUGGAAGUUCAAGUCUUCUCACGCGCACCA
rnacentral:tRNA from 1 species